rnacentral:rRNA from 1 species
UGGGGAAUUUUGGACAAUGGGGGCAACCCUGAUCCAGCGACGCCGCGUGGAGGACGAAGGUCUUCGGAUUGUGAACUCCUUUUGAAGGGGAUGAAUGCCCUGGUGAAAAGCCAGGGGUGACAGUACUCUUCGAAUAAGCCACGGCUAACUACGUGCCAGCAGCCGCGGUAAUACGUAGGUGGCAAGCGUUACUCGGAAUCACCAGGCGUAAAGCGCAGGUAGGCGGUUUGAUAAGUCUCUUGUGAAAGCUCCCGGCUUAACUGGGAGAGGUCAAGGGAAACUGUCAGGCUAGAGUGUGGCAGAGGAAACUGGAAUUCCCGGUGUAGCGGUGAAAUGCGUAGAUAUCGGGAGGAAUACCUAUGGCGAAAGCAGGUUUCUGGGCCGUCACUGACGCUGAGCUGCGAAAGCUAGGGGAGCAAACAGGAUUAGAUACCCUGGUAGUCCUAGCCCUAAACGAUGCUCAUUAGGUGUGGAAGGUAUCGACCCCUCCCGCGCCGUAGCUAACGCAUUAAAUGAGCCGCCUGGGGAGUACGGCCGCAAGGUUGA